CAUCGCCUCUUGAAUAAAAAUAAGAGGUCCAGCCUGCCCAGUGACCAAUGUUCAACGGCCGCGGUAUCCUAACCGUGCGAAGGUAGCGUAAUCACUUGUUCUUUAAAUGAGGACUAGUAUGAACGGCAUCACGAGGGUUAUACUGUCUCCUCCAUCUAAUCAGUGAAACUAAUCUCCCCGUGAAGAAGCGGGGAUAAACCUAUAAGACGAGAAGACCCUAUGGAGCUUUAAACUUUCCCUCAAGCAUCACAAUAACUUUUCAAGUCACAGACUUUCCUUAUUUAUCCUGAUGCAGUGUAAGCAAGUUUUAGGUUGGGGUGACCACGGAGUACAAAAAAACCUCCACGCUGAACAUAGGCCUCUAAACCUUAAACAAAGGACCACAGCCCAAUGUAUUAAUAAAUUAACAUUCAUUGACCCAAUAUAUUUUUGACCAACGAACCAAGUUACCCUA
rnacentral:rRNA from 1 species